UUGGUGACGCUGUUAUUGAAGCGCGUUUAAUGAAGUUACCGGUUUUAAGUGGUAAUUUUAACUAUUUUAAAUGCGCCGGCUAGCUGUUGCUGACCUUUGAACCAGUAGCCACUCUGGACUUCACCCUAAAGGCUGCGGGGCCCUAAGCAGCCGACUUUGUGGCUUUACCCAUGAAACUAUUUUAACCUGGGCAGUAUGCUGACUAAAACUACGAGACGUCACAUGCUACCCUGAGGAGGAGGAGACACAACAAACUAUGGCUGAACUGGGGAUUGAACGUGUGGAUCCUCUCUUUAUGGGCUAUCUAACGUCUUCAUGCAGUGGAAGGUGUGCUGUGUGAAUGCGCAGUAAGCGUGUGUGCUACAAUAAUGUAUGUGCUGCAGGAGGAAUGCAAUUAGAGGACAUGCGGCGCCUGUCGUGUUCCAGGCCCUGCAUGUGGAACGCUGCACGUGUGGCUUGCUUGCUGCAAAAGUGAACACGUGUGAAGACACGAGCGAGUCCUCCCUCAAAAGAACAAAGGUAUGGAUUUAGGAACUGUGAUGUUACAUUCAGCAAGGGAGAAGGUUCGAAAGCAAACAGUGAGAGACGUAACAUUUAGACAGUGAGGAGGGAGCGAGGGGCGGGGGGGUGCCUGUUGCCUCCUGUUUGAAACGGAUGAUGUCAUUUUUCAGUUGAAUUCAACGACUGGCUGUUCGAAUUUCGGAUGAGAUGAUGCUCCUUUUCGUAAGUGCUACAUAAGGCAUGACGUCACAGAUGUGGAAAUCAGGCCAGUGAACAGAAUUGACUUGCAGGAAUAUGAUUGUGUCAUUUUGAAAUGUUCCUCAGUCGACGUGAAUGAAACCUUUGCAAUCUGAGACAGCUCACACGGUCCAUUCCGUCUUCUCUCGACUCCCCUCUUGGCCCGUUAGCACUCGCCAUCUGACACCAGGAAGAUCAUGGCUUCCUGUUUGCCGAUGUCGGCCAUGACGGCAGCCAGCUGGUUGAUGUUGCCGCUGUGGAAAUGUAGCGCCUCCCACAGGUCCAGGAUGGCCGAGGUCGGGCUGGCUUUCGACGCAAAGAAACUCAUAUGUCUGCAAGUAAACACACAAACACACAGAACACCCAUGCCUUUCAUUUAAAGGUCCCUUAUAAUGCAAAAUGGUGCUACAACAGUAAUGGGUGUCCCUUCUUACCACCAGACAUGACAACAAUCUACCAUCUCCCUCACUUGUUUGCUCCACUUGUAUAUCCUCAUGGAUAUAUCACAUUACCACUUCACAAAGGACAAACAAAUAAAUAAAAACAAAACAGAAGAAAAACUAGGCUUCGCUACACAUCUUAAAAUAAAGCCUGGAGCUCAACCAACUAUCCGUCAGUCAGCUGGAAGUUUUAUCAUUUUGCUUUUCUUCAGCUGGGCAUUAUGGUAUAAACAAAGACUAAUAGGAGUGUAAAGGUGACUAUAGGGGUGUUAUUUCAUGUUUACAGAGCUCUAAUAAUGGUAAAAAAGUGUAUUUUGAACGUCAAACAGUUUUUUUCUAUGUUCUAAAUAUGAAAAUAUGCCAUUUAUUAAUAUUGAAUCCUAUUUCGCGCAAAUUCACUUACUGCAGUUGUGUCUGGAACCAAUUAACAGCGAUACAUGAAGGACUACGCUGAUAAAGCUGAAUAAAUCCACGUGUUUAUCGAUGAUCUUACAUUGUCAUUCAUUAGUGGUGAGUCCCUUACAUUUUAUACUUUCCAUUCUUUUUAAUAAGUGCCUGAAGCAUAUUUAGGGCUUAAACCUGGAUUGUAUUGCGAGUGUCCAAUGAUAGGAGGGGGUGAGCCGUGUGUCAAAAAUAGACAUUUUUAUGGGCGUCUCUAUUACUUGCGUUAUUUUGCUGAUAAAUCUGGAAUGGAACCCCCAGGAAAAGUGGGAAUUUUUCUGCACUAUAAGGAGAAAAGCAUUGGCUUAGUACAGGAAGUGAAACAGCUGGAACUUCCACCCUUUGGAACGACUUGCCCAGUGCGAGACAAGCUUUGAAACUUUCUUCCUGUAUUUCACUGAGCUACUAUUUCUUCUUAGUCAGAGUUGUAGUGUGCAGCACAUUGCUUCUUCCGUGUUGGAUCAAACUCCUCCAACUGCCAUAAAGCAAAGCUGAAAAGCAAUUUUCACUCGUCGCCCAACAGCAACUUUAAAGCAAAAGCCUUAUUCGUCUUUAUUUGAAGUUAAAUCCCUUUUACUAAAUCCUAUAUGGACUUUUCACACUUCACACAGUCGGAAGUGACCUUUUCCCAUUUUAGGUGGCCAACCUUUGGCCAUCAAACCCAAUCAAUGACAACAAAGUGGCGGUCUCAGUCGGCCGUAUAUUUGAUGUUGAGUGCCGGCUGAUCCCCAACGUCCUCGCGUCCACUUGUUGGCUUUAAUGGCCUUUUUGUGUUCUUCUUCAUGGUGGGGGCCUUAACUCGUGUGGAGUGCACACAAUGCGUUCAAACACACAGCAGCACUUCAUCCUGGAAGUGCACUGCCACGUCAACACUUUGUAGACUACUUCUCAACUUGACAAAGGCUUUUUUCGUUUUUUUUUUUUUUAACAGUAUAGGGCAACAGAACACAGUAUUAGUUUUGUUUGUGGUAAGAAAAUUCACUUGAAAAAUAGAAAAAUAUUGUGAUUAUUGUUAAAUGGUAGCGGAACAAGUGUCAUGUUUAUCCCCCCCCACAGUAAAACACGUUGUUGAGGACAGAUCAAACAACAAGCCAACAGACGUCGACGUCCUUUCCUCAGGCCUAAUUGAGAAUUGAUUGUGCUGAGCAAAGCAAUGCUAAUUAAACCUGCACAGCAUCAAUUCAGGGGGCGAUUAAUCAGGGCAAAUAAAGUUGAUGGGACAAAUUAACUUGACCUAUUUGAUUUCAUUAAGAGGUAGAAAUUAAAAUUGGUGGAUAAGGAAUCAAUGACUGCGGCUCCUCAUCCAACAUACCAAUGGCGUAACUUUGAAAUGGUUGCAGCUUGGCAAAAAAAAAAAAAAAGAGCCAAAAACUUUUCUAAUCGCUGUUCAGCAUUCUAAAGGGCAAGUUAAGCGUCAGACAUUCAGCAGCUUAACGGAAGAAAAAAGGCCCGGUAAGCUUAAAGGACAACUGCAUUUAUUUAUUUAUUUUAUUUUGCCCAUCAUCCACAAUCCUUGUGUGAGACGUGAACACAUACUGUAUGGCUUUCCCUUUUCUGUGCAUUCAAAAGAUAUGGCAACAGCUAAAAAGUCGCAGCUAAGAAUGCAUGGAAUGGGAAACACUUAUUCCUCCUAUAAAGCCUUCUGAAAAAAACAAAAAAAAUCACCAACCAGGCUCUAUUUACAUAUGAUGUGACGUGCAUAUUAACCAAGCUACAGCGGCAUUGUUAUCAUCAUUUUUUAUCUUUUGUUACUACUUUACUGCCGUAGUGACACCUCGCCACAGCACACCGGCUAGCUACUAGCACUACUGAUUUAAUGCACAAAAGUAUUGUAGGUGUGAAGUAUCUGAAACCCUCCUCCUUACGUCGCAAAAGUGUAAGUAGUUUAUCUUAAAAUUAGCACAUAACUUCUUCUCCACUGCUGUUUGAUAACUUGCUAGCAACCUUCGUGACACUUUUUUACAGUGGGUCUGUGAGUCGCGGCUGCAUCUUUCCAGGUCAAUAGUGUGUGUGUGAGUGACAGGAAGAAAAGCUCAGAUUCGCUUUAGGGGAAGUCUACACUGCAAAUAUCAGACUUGUAUUUUUCAGGCUUUUUUUUCCCUAAGGAAAACAUAGCAUCUCAUAUUUGGGUCAGUAUGAUAAUACAGUACGCCCGCGGUUUUUGUGGCAGUUCCGUUCCAUGACCGCCAGCCAAUAGUGUCACACCAGGAGUCUGUUUUUGACUCGCAUACCUUAUAGAUUGACGUUAACAUUCUCCUCCGGUUUCGGAUCAACGUUUGCAAUAAUGAUUGUUGCAAUGCUUCAAUUAAAUUCAGCACCAGAACCCUCACCUUCUCUCUUCAAAUGCCAUUUUUCACUUACAACACAAUCAAGGCUUAGGCCCUAAAUAUGCCUCACAUGUUUAUUAUACAUAUUUCGAGUAUAAAACGUAUAAUUGCUCACCACUAAUGCAUGGUAAUGUAAGAUGAUAACAGAUGAUUAACAGAUGUGUAGCCUUUAGCCUGGUCGUCAAGCUAGCAUUAGAGGCUAGCGGGCUAGGCAAGGCGUUUCUCCAAGCCGCGUCUACAUAAUCCAUACUCAUAAUAAAUUGUGUUCACCUACAGUAGCUGCAAGUUUUGAGGCCGGAUUGACUGAACUUGAUUGACUGAAGCUAGUGUUUCCGUAACAAACAAAUAGCGCACAAUGAAACAAAGUACAAAAUCUUGACAAAAAAACAUUUUCAGUGAAGCAAAAAGACAUACACAUGUAAAAACUGUGUGCUUUUGUAACAGUGGUACGUGUAUGCUGUACAUUUGACCUGUAUUAUCACUGAUUCAUAAAUUAUUACCAAGAGCUAUGCCUGGUACAACAAAAGGUACUUUUGUUUGGGCUAAUAAAGCGAUGACAACAAAAAUAGCUCAUCAGAGUUAAAUUUUUUGGCAUACAAUGCCAUAGAUAUUGAUGUAAGAACUUUUGUUAUGAUCAAGAAAACCACGGAAAUGGCUAGAUAUCAGCUCUUAAAUGAAACUCUUAUAAGCUUUUUUUUUGGUCAUCAUUAUAUUUGUCCAAACGAACGUACCUUUCAUUUUACCGGGCAGUAAAAUGAACAAGAAACCGAAGCAACAAAGUUGGUCGUGUUAUGAUUUCCAUGACUCUAAAUAAAAUAUUUUGGUUAAGCAAUAUUUUUUAUCAAUAUCAAUGUAAUAACUUAUUUUUAACUCAUUCAAUACCAAAUAAAUAUUUAUCCAUUUUCAUAAACCCGAACACCCGAUCCCGAAAACGUAUUUAUACAUCUUUUAAUUUUUUUGGUGCGAGAGGCAAAAAGAUAACAGAUGUCACUUCUAAAGCAGUUUUAAGCCAUAAAAACGGCCACAAGGUGGCAGAAGUGCAUUCGAUAAGAGCUCGGCGUGGAUCAUUUGCAUGUAUUAACACACUCGACAGCAAGGAGGAAGUGGAAGAGCGUGGAGGAGUGUAGCGUGCAGAAGCUUACGCAAUGUAGGGAAAUUUUAACGCAUGCACACACACACAUGCGUGCCUGCACACAAACACACACACACAUGCAGACACACAGUUUAGUUCCAAAUGUGAAAAUUGUAAAUAGUUCAUGGUGUUAUAUUUGUACAUAAAUAGUUAUUUUGAUGUAAAACAACCCUUUUUUGUGUUGUUUAUAUUUAUUUGAACAAUUUGUGUCUAAAAUGGCCGGUCCUGAAGGGGUUGUCUUUUGAAAAAUGGCUGGGAUUGAAUGAGUUAAAUUUUAAUAGUUACGUAUACUGUAUCUCUCGCUCUCUUUUUUUACUACACAGUUUUUGUAUAUACAAUUUUUUAUAAAAAAAAAAAAAACUACAAUAAAGGGAUUGUGAUGCAAUAUUUUUUUCCUAUUUGAUGUUUUAGACUAGACUGUGGCUGAAUGACAUCAUGGAUUCAUGCUAAUUAUACUAAUAAAAUGCAAUUACCUGAGCUUCUGAGACAAAUUCUAACAUUGUGGAGCGAGUGCAGGUUUAUUAUUCCAAACAAAAGGAUCAUGUGCUGCAGUGUGGAGCGUCAGUACAAAUCAGGUUGUGCUGCAUUACUUGAGAGGCUUUGUGUAAUCCGCCUGUUCCAGUGUGCUGCCGUGAUCAGUGAGCAGAUACACUUUGUACUAUUUACCUCUCCAGCUUGAGUCUUUGUGCUAGCAUUCUCCAGUCAGCUCCGUUGGGACACGGGGCGUCCAGGCUGCUGCAGAUCUUCUGCCUUAUGAGGUACGGGAUCUGAAAGGCGCUGGGCCCUGCUAGAGCAGUGGCGUUACUGUCCAUUAACAGGAACUCUGAGUCCACGGCUCGGGUGUCCUGUUCCGUACAAGAAGAAGGAAGAAGAAGAAGAAACACCGUGUUGAGUAACUAUAAGACCAGCUGGCAGGUGAGCUCACAGGUGGUGAGGCUGAGGCGCUCCAGAGUGAACGUGCAGUGCAAGUACCGCUGGGAACCGUUCCAGAUGUGGUAAAACGGGAUCUCCUGCAGGCAGUGAGCACAAACGGGCAGUCAGAACGACAUGAUCCAAAACAUCACCUCCUAUCGCUACAACUAAUAGAAGAUCAUCAAUCGGAAAAAGACUCUGACACUGUGGAGGGAAUAUCACACUGACAACAUGAAGAUGGAGGACGGCUUCUGACUUUACAUGUGGUAACAACAUGAAAUACACACAUUUAUGCUUUAUCGGGGUGGCCAAAGAGUAGCCCGGGGGCAUGCAGAUCACUUUUUAGUGGCCUGUGGCGUAGUCUAAAAAUAAAAUUAAACACACCGUGCAUAAUAACGUUACGAAGGAGGAUUUGGGCCACUCUGAAAAGAAAACAGGUUACAAGCGAAUAUGGGAAGACAAUAACAAAAAGUCAAAAGACUACAUAUGAAUAUUACUACAAUCUCUUUGCUUUGCCCUGUACUGUAUAACAUAAACAUAAACAUGCCUGUCCACUAUAUGGACAAGGGUAUUGGGUAGGGGUAUCACAAGAGACUCAGUACAUGAGACCAUACCCGAGACAAGAGCGAGGAAAAAUAUAAAAUAACAUAUAACAAUAUAUUGAAAUCUACUAAUUGAACUUCUACGACAUUCUUCUGCACUCUGUGCGUAUGCUAGUGUCCCCGCCUCCAGCCAUCGAGACAAAGAGACUGACAAAAGGGCUCACUUCGUUCAUGACAUUGUUCUAUGGAACAAAUGCGCCAAGGUUCUGAAACCAAUGCACCAAUGCCUCUUUGGAGGCAGGAGGUGAGGAAAACAGACACGCAUACAUAGAGGCCGGCAAAAUGAUCAAGUUCAUUAUCAUUUAUUGUGUGAUUUUGACAUUUUCUUUUCUAAACGAGAAAUCUUGUUACGUUUUAAUCUCCCGAAAGCUGGUGACAAGAGAUCUUGUGACACUCCUGCUUUUAAAGGGAUAUUUCAGAUUUUUUUUACAUGACGUUUUAUGACGUCCCCAUCUUGUUUACGCGAGCGUUCCACACUGCUGAUGGGGAUGUCAUACAACUUCAUGUCAAAAAAUCCAAACUAUCCCUUUAAGGUAACUCCCAAAACAAUGCAGGUGCAUUUUGAAAUGUUUUAUAACUUUGCCUGAAGCGUGAUGCUUUGAACUGUUCACCUUCUUUCCACAAAUUGAAACAAAACCUAAAGCUAACAAAAAUUGUACAAGUUCAAAUAAUGACGGCAGUUGUAGCCGCUACUACUAAUAAUUUAUGUUGAUGUGUAGUUAUGUAAAGACACAUGUAAAAUAGAUUGCAGUAGGUUAGUUGUAUUGUAUGCUAAAAGAACUACAGGACUAUUACACCCAUGAUGCUUAGAGUCAAGAAGUGGCGCAUUUCCGAAAUAGAAGCAAAUAAUAUCCCAUGCUUUUUAAGUCUGCAGUGAUCGUGUUUUGAUCUGACAAAUCUUAAGAAAGUUUGAUCAAAUGUAGAAUUACUACAGCUAGGAAAUGUAUUUAUUUCAUGACCUAUUUAUUGAUUAGUUAAUUUGUGCACAACACUCCCUCCAUACUAGCCCAACCUCUGAAGGCUAAAUGCACUGACUGAUUAAGAGGUGUGUCCCAAGACUUUUGUCUCUGUAGUGCAUGUGCACAAAGCAGCUUCCAGUACAUCUGCUGCAAACUCCUUCAGUAGGAUGCAUUUCCUAGAAUAUAUUCAAGGCUGAUGAUUUUGACAUCUUUCUCUGUUGUUGCUUCAUGCCUCAUACGCAUAUCCCCAGAGAGAAAUGGGAACUAAAAGAAAGGGCAAAGGAAAAAAAAAAAAAUCAGGGCACGCUUUUACUCAUCACUUCAGCCUCCCUGGCAAAAAUGGAACCUGGGCUGCAGUACCUGCUAGUGACCAAACAGGGGCACUGUUACCCAGCCAGACGGAUGGUGCAGGUGAAGUGCUCAAUAGCCUUCUCGGGGACCCCAGUGGGACUAAAGGCCUUUUUUUCACUGCACUGCUGUGCAACACUUCCAAAUAAGCAGGUUCAGUCCAGAGGAAGCUUUUGUUCUUGGUACAAUGUUACUGCUGUGCUUGCUUGGCACAACCUGGGCAUUCUCUACAGGGACCUGGUGCUGCUACAAGUUAUGGCCAAAGCAUUUUCUAGUCCUCUUUGAACAAGCCUUACUGGACCGCAGUGCAGUGCACGUGGACAGCUUCCAGGAUCCAGGUUGUGAGCUUCCAGAUAUUUAUUUCUCUUCCAUAUUUCAUGUAAGCUCCCUUUGAGGAAGCAGCAGCCGGGAUAUAAUCAAUCAGCUUGCAGCGCUGGGUUACUGCACACGACCCAGCUCUAAUGUGCACCGAGUAUACAGCUUACACGUGCACACCAGCGAACAGCAACAUGCUCGUUCUCAGCUACACAGCAAAACAAUUCCCGACUCUCACAAAGUUGUAUCAUACUAAGAAUGAAAAUACUAAAAGAACCAAACACGGAGACUGAAAAGGAUCAACAUAGAAGCAUCCGACAGCUUAUUUAAGACUGAAUGAAAUUUAGAGAGAUGCUUGUUUAAGAGAAUAAGCAUUAUUAUGCAUUAGAUUGAACCUUUUUGGGGAGAAUUUAGUUUCUGUUUUCAUUUUCAGUGGUCAACUUAUUUUUACACUUGUGUGACCAUUCAGAAUGCUUAAAAAUGUGACGUGUGAUUGAAACUUUGAGUUAAGUUGAUACUGAUAAAUAUUAUGUGUACAGUUAAGUGUGCAGUUUGACCCUGAAACAGAUUCUUUUUCAGUUCCCAUUAUUUGUUAAGGUACAAAACGUAUUGAAAUAUCAAUAAAUACAGGCAUAGCCAAAAACAUUAGCAUGUUUGGCCAAAAACAUUGGCAAAAAAUGACUGUAAUAGAACAAAUCCUAACAAGGUUGAUGCUAUUGUGCUGUUGCACUACAGGCUCAUAUUCAUCAAAUUACAAUAAUACCAUAUUGACUUGAAUACAGAAGUGUCUUUUUUUGUAAAAGCAAACUGGGAGCGGUCGUCACAUGGUGCCUGAUGACUUCUCCUGAAGGCAGUCAGAGCUUUUCUUCCUGUUAUUUUUAACGAACACACCACAUGUUGGCGUAAUUAAACCCCAAAGAGCCGACUAAUGGGGUCACUUUCAAGAAUCACCACCCUGGCACACACCUGACAAGGACGUCUGUAAAAUUUGAUCUAGAUUACGGUAGUUGAAAAUCAUGGCCGUCAUUAUCUUUUGUAGGGGCACGAAUCGUCCAGGAGUCAUUGACCAUUUUUGGCUAAUGGUUAUAAAAGUUUGAGGAUAUUUGUAUUACAUAUAUGCUAGCAUGUGUUCCAAAGCAUUUUGAGCACAACCUACAGGGGGCGCCACAAUUGUAAUAUACAGUUGUGUGAAAAAAUGAGGACACGCAUACAAAUACAGUGGAACCCGUUUGAGUCAACAUCCCUCAGAUUGGCUGAAUCACGUGGACGUAAGUGGCUGUUGAAAUAACCGAAGAUAGCCUUUGCUUGUACAUUUAUUUGUGACUUUCAUCAGAGACAUAAAGAGAACAAUAGAAUUUUUUAACCUACAGGAAUUGGUUGAUAUUGUUUUCCUCCAUUUGUGCAAAAUUUAAAUGGGUGCAUUUUGUUAGUUGCGUAAGGGGGAUGAAGGAACAGCUGACAAAUCUACUGCGAAAGAACAAAGGACCUUUGGUGCUAUGACGAAGCUGUGAAGGUAAGUAGUACUUCCUUCCCUGUCCCCUACCACCCUUCUGCAUUUGCUUUUAUUGAUUUUGACAUAACCACAAAUACACUUUUGCAAAGUCGACAGGAGGUCAACAUAAACGUGGUCGACUUAAACGGGGUCCACGGUAUCACUAUACACACUUGGCACUCCUACUAAACAUCCCAGCUCACGCUCACAUUCUGAGUGACCUCUCCUGCCCCUGCACCCCUGCAACCCACCCACACACACACACCUGGUAGCCAGCAAGCAGCUUGCUCCUCCAGUGGGCCUGGGGCAUGUCGUGGAUGGACAGGCGCAGGUUGUGGUAGCUGUCUUUGAAAAGCAGGACGUGAGGCUCGUCAAUCAGCCGACCCCCAAGCUGCCGCUCCAUCUGCAUCACCUCCUGAAGAAGGGGGGGAAGCAUGUUUACCACCACAGAGGAGAACACACAACUCUACGAUUCGGGUGCACUUUUUAAAAACUGUACGUAGAACAGGAGACAUAGAGUAAAUAAAAGCCUAUACGCGCACGCACACACACACACAGUACAAAGAAAGGCAACAGUGCAUCUUAACACAAGAAGAUAGCAGCUCUGCAUGUGGCCACAGCGGGCAACACCCACUUGUCUCCACAGCGCUUUAAUGUCACCACAAGGUUGAUCCCCCCCACCUCAGCAUGUGUGUGCGCGUGUGCUUUCAGCUGCCAGCAUUAGCAUGCAAACACAGCAGCCACACAGGACUACAUGGGCUGUGAUGAAGGAAGUGUACAAGCCAUUAGUCAACUGCUCAUUGUUCCCGCAUGGCCAACCGCCUUCAUUUCAUUUCUGUGCCAGGAAAGAUUUGUAGAGACACGCUUAAUAUUUUAAUCUCCAUGGGGUUUCUUCAGGUGAUCAUUUACUGUCAUCUAAAUGACCAUCUGGAACGAGCUGAUGGAAUUCGAGACCUUUUACGCUCGUCCAUCAAAGCCAGAAGCGUUAAGUUUGGAAGAAUCCAACACUUAAGUCAACCGAGUCAAUUAUAAAAAGUGAACUGAAGUCUAAAAUUAGACAUUUUAUAAUUGGCCCAAUGUCUGGCAGCAGAGGGCAAACAUGUCUAAGAAACACACCGAGUGGUCCUCUCAUUAGGUACACCUGCACAAUCCAAGGAGAUCUAAAAGAAGAACUGCAUUCAGAUCAUAAUGUUCAACUAUAUGGUGUUAUUAAUAAAGGUUUCAGUUAUAGUUACGUUCCCACAAAGCAUACUUGACUUAGCUUAGUGACAGAGUUACACAAAUGUAAUUAGUUACCAAGGAAAGUAAUAAAUGUGUUCCUUCCUCCUCCUGGUACUUCCUGUGUAGUAUUAGUGAACAAUGGCGACUGAAGCGGCCGCCACAUCACUGACAUAUCAGCACAUAGUCACGCACACGGUAAAGGUGAUGGCGUUGUAAUGUUUGAAAUAGCAAUUCAUUAGAUUGGUGGUGCUCAAUUUGUUUGGCUACGGGACCCAUCAUCACUCCUCGGUGAAAAGCAGCGACCCAAAUUGUGGAACUUUUUCAACUCAAAUGUCUCAACUAUCUUACAUUUAAAGGUCUCAAGUCCCCAGCGGGUAAGCGGCUACCUAGGCAUGCACCUUGUGGCGACGUAGCACGCAAAUAGCACGGACAAUGAUGCGAGGUGCGUUCACAUCUGGUCAUUACAUUGUUGUUGUGUUUUUUCCUAGGCAAAAACCCCACGACCCACUUUUGGGUCACAACCCACCAGUUGAGAAUCUCUGAAUUUGAUGACCCAUUAAAGGAAGACAGUAACGGCAUUAGUAACGCCGUUAUCAUUAACAGUGUUACCCCCAAAACUGGUUUUCUGUUUGUGGUACCAAAUAGUAUUUGUUUAUUUCAUAUCCCCUCUGAGUCUUUGCUGAACAUUUUUUUAGUAGUUUUACUUUUUACAACUCAAUUGUUCUUUGUAAGGAAUCAGAACCACAAGCUGCCUUUCUGGUUAUGUUUGGGGAGCUCUUGCAUUGGUAGUUUAAUAUUAGAUUGUGCAGGUGUGCUUAACGCUGCGGUGUGUAUAACAAUAAAGACAUUUGUUGUGGAAGGCGUGUGGACAUGCUAUGAUGUCAGCAAGGACGUCUCAUUAAUGUGGAGAACGGGAAUCAUUUCAGUGAUUCAAUUUUCUGCUCUCU